rnacentral:rRNA from 1 species
CCUACGGGAGGCAGCAGUGAGGAAUAUUGGACAAUGGGCGCAAGCCUGAUCCAGCCAUGCCGCGUGCAGGAUGACGGUCCUAUGGAUUGUAAACUGCUUUUGUACAGGAAGAAACCCUUUCACGUGUGAGAGAUUGACGGUACUGUAAGAAUAAGGAUCGGCUAACUCCGUGCCAGCAGCCGCGGUAAUACGGAGGAUCCAAGCGUUAUCCGGAAUCAUUGGGUUUAAAGGGUCCGUAGGCGGCCAGAUAAGUCAGUGGUGAAAGCCCAUCGCUCAACGGUGGAACGGCCAUUGAUACUGUCUGGCUUGAAUUACAAGGAAGUAACUAGAAUAUGUAGUGUAGCGGUGAAAUGCUUAGAGAUUACAUGGAAUACCAAUUGCGAAGGCAGGUUACUACUUGUGGAUUGACGCUGAUGGACGAAAGUCGUGGGUAGCGAACAGGAUUAGAUACCCUGGUAGUCCACGCCGUAAACGAUGGAUACUAGCUGUUGGGAGUAAUCUCCAGUGGCUACGCGAAACUGAUCAG